GACGAACGCUGGCGGCGUGCUUAACACAUGCCAGUCGAACGGAAAGGCCCUGCUUUUGUGGGGUGCUCGAGUGGCGAACGGGUGAGUAACACGUGAGUAACCUGCCCUUGACUUUGGGAUAACUUCAGGAAACUGGGGCUAAUACCGGAUAGGAGCUCCUGCUGCAUGGUGGGGGUUGGAAAGUUUCGGCGGUUGGGGAUGGACUCGCGGCUUAUCAGCUUGUUGGUGGGGUAGUGGCUUACCAAGGCUUUGGCGGGUAGCCGGCCUGAGAGGGUGACCGGCAACAUUGGGACUGAGAUACGGCCCGGACUCCUACGGGAGGAAGCAGGGGGGAAUAUUGAACAAUGGGCGGAAGCCUGAUGCAGCAACGCCGCGUGCGGGAUGACGGCCUUCGGGUUGUAAACCGCUUUCGCCUGUGACGAAGCGUGAGUGACGGUAAUGGGUAAAGAAGCACCGGCUAACUACGUG
rnacentral:rRNA from 1 species